CUGCGCCACGAGUGGGAAUCGUAUUUAUUGGGCCUAAAGCGUCCGUAGCCGACUUGGUUAAUCUUCUGUGAAAUUGUUCUGCUCAACAGAACAGCGUGCAGGAGACACUGCUAGGAUAGGAACUGGGAGGGGUCAGAAGUAUUUCAGGGGGAGCGGUAAAAUGCUAUAAUCCCUGAAAGACUACCUGUGGCGAAGGCGUCUGACCAGAACAGAUUCGACGGUGAGGGACGAAAGCUGGGGGAGCAAUCCGGAUUAGAGACCCGUGUAGUCC
rnacentral:rRNA from 1 species